rnacentral:tRNA from 1 species
GCCUUCGUGGUGUAGUGGUCAGCACGCUCGACGCGUAACCGAGAGGUCCGUGGUUCGAUUCCGGGCGAAGGCU